rnacentral:lncRNA from 1 species
CUGAAUCAUGGGGCAGGUUUUUCCUGUGCUGUUCUUUUGAUAGAGAGUAAGUCUCAUAAGAUCCAAUGGUUUUAUAAAGGGCAGUUUCCCUGCACAGGCUCUCUUGCCUGUCACCAUGUAAGACAUGCCUUUGCUCUUCUUUCUCCUUCCACCAUGAUUGUGAGGCCUCCCCAGCCAUGUGGAACUGAUCCUGUCUUCCCCUGGGUGCAACCAGUUCGUCAUCAAUCUAAGUAUGUUGGUGUGGUCCCCUGAGUCAACAGGAAGUGGCAAAUCCUUGCUGAGUGAGUUCCCUGAAUGGGGAGGAUAUCCUGAACAUGCUAUAACCUGAAAAAGCACAUGUUUAUCUUGCAGCAUAAAAGCCUUCUGUUGGUCAUACAAUGCUUGUUAAUCCAGGGCUCUCUGUAAGCCUGACUCAGUAAGUGGUAAAGAAAGAAAUGAAUUUAC